rnacentral:tRNA from 1 species
UCCGAUAUGGUGUAGUGGCCAACAUGAUGCCCUCUCAUUCAGUGAGAGGUUAGGCAUAGCCCCGAGUUCGAUUCUCGGUUUCGGAA